rnacentral:rRNA from 1 species
CCUACGGGAGGCAGCAGUGGGGAAUAUUGGGCAAUGGGCGCAAGCCUGACCCAGCAACGCCGCGUGAAGGAAGAAGGCUUUCGGGUUGUAAACUUCUUUUCUCAGGGACGAAGCAAGUGACGGUACCUGCGGAAUAAGCCACGGCUAACUACGUGCCAGCAGCCGCGGUAAUACGUAGGUGGCAAGCGUUAUCCGGAUUUACUGGGUGUAAAGGGCGUGUAGGCGGGAAAGCAAGUCAGAUGUGAAAACCAUGGGCUCAACCGGUGGCCUGCAUUUGAAACUGUUUUUCGUGAGUACUGGAGAGGCAGACGGAAUGCCUAGUGUAGCGGUGAAAUGCGUAGAUAUUAGGAGGAACACCAGUGGCGAAGGCGGUCUGCUGGACAGCAACUGACGCUGAGGCGCGAAAGCGUGGGGAGCAAACAGGAUUAGAUACCCCAGUAGUC